GCCAUAAUAACCCAACAACCCUUUUUCUUGCUUUUAGGGCGUUCUCUGCUCCUCAACGGCUCAAGCUCAACCCAACCUCCCCUCCUCCGUCCAGGGUCCAGCCAGGCGAGGCGAUUGGAGCCAUCGGCGGCGAGGUGCUCACCAGUCGUUCGACGGAAUGCCUCCAGCAAAAAGGGCCAAGAAAGCGGCCGCGGCGGGCGGAGGCGACCUCAUCGGCGCCCUCCCGGACGCGAUGCUGCACCGCAUCCUCUCCCUCCUCCCGGCGCACGAGGCCGUGCGGACGUGCGUGCUGGCCCGGCGGUGGCGCCACCUCUGGAGGUCCGCCCCAGGCCUGCGCAUCGUCCGCGCCGCCGGCCGGCCGCCGGCGACCGUCGAGGAGCCCCAGGGGUUCGUCGACCACCUCCUGCUCCUCCGCGGGGGCUCCCCUCUCAACACCUGCGAGCUUUCCUUCGAUCAGAUCCGCAGACAACACAUUCCCCGCGUGAACCUCUGGAUUCGUCACAUUGUCAUGUGCAAAGUCCGAGUGCUCGUGCUUCACCUCAAUCCUUAUUGUCAUGAAUUGGACGAACUGCCUCUGGUCUCGCAGCACCUGACGAGGUUGGAGCUUUCUGGUCUGAUCUUAAACGACAGCUUCCUCAAUUUCUCGAGCUGCCUGGCAUUGGAUUAUCUAGAGAUUGUCCAAUGUUACUUCUCUUCUCUGACAAAGAUCACAUCGCAGUCGCUAAAGCGGCUAAGAAUCAUUAAAUGCUAUACUGGUUCCCGCCCUCAUGUGCAUGCCACAAAUCUCGUUUCACUGCAUCUGGAUGCCAUAACAAGGACUCCUGUGCUUGAGAGAUUGCCAUCAUUAGUGAAAGCAGACAUCAAACUUAAUAGUCAGUGUCGCGAUUUCUGUAGUUUUAUGACUUUUCUGGGGGUUGCAAUCAUGAAUUCUGCAGCGGUUGUCGUGGCGUACAAGCUGAGAACUGCGUGCUUCUGCGAGGUUUAUCAGAAGCUAAGAAUCUGGCAUUGGUAGCUGAAACUAAAAUGUUUGUUUUCAGAAGAGACUUGAAGUGGUGCCCUAUCUUUAGGAAUUUGAAGACUUUGUUACUCAAUGAAUGCUUGUGUGUGCCUUCCGAUUUGAGUGCGCUAGCAUGCAUUCUUCAGCAUUCACCUGUUUUAGAAAAGCUCACUCUUCAACUUUUUUCGAUGGGACCUAAACAUAAAGUGGAAAUGAAGGGAAGCCGCCAUCCAUCGGGGGUGUCAGCUGCAAUGUUAAAAUAUCUUGAGAUUGUCGAGGUCAAAUGUGAAGUGGUUGAUGAGAGUGUUCUCGAUGUUUUGAAGUUCCUAAGCUCACUUAACAUAUGCUUCACUUUCAAGAAAUAGAAGGGUUGGGAAGAAGAUGGACGUACUGCUCGAAGGAAAUGGAAUGCUCCAUCAGGGAAGCACCCACAAUACUUGAAAUUACGUGUUUUAUCUGUGGGAUUCUGUUGAGAUCUGCGUGUAGGAACAACAUAAGUCAGCUAUGAGUUUGUAGUUGUACCGUUUUAUGUGGGCAUGGAUUACCGUACUACUAUCGUAUCUAGUCAAUACCCCAGUUUAUGCCUUGAAUCCGUGGUUCUAUUUUUCUUAAGCCAUGAUUCAUUCCUUGA